GGAAGUAGGCCUCUUCUCUCUUCCUCCAGAGUCACCAUGUGAGCCAAGGAAGACAGGACACUUGCCACUAGCGUCCAAUAAGAGACCAGUGAAGGCUCAAGAAAGCUAUGUGUCACAGAAGAUGAAAUGCCCCCACCCAGUGUUAGAAGCAGACACUGCUCUAAGUGUUUCAAACAGAGGGUACCAAUAACAAAAGAAGUCUAGAUGGGGCCUUGGAGAAGGAAAGACCAACAAGAAAACCUGUAAGGCAACACAGAUUGACCACAGCGGGAAGUUCUACUACCUUUAGGUGUCUGUGCUUCUACAUGCUGCUGCAUCCGUACAGUAGCUCUGAAAUCACAAGAAUACGAUGACUGUAGAAGGAAGAAACAGAACUCGAGAUGCUUAUAUCCAUCAUUCUACAUGCAUAUCAACCCUGGAUACCUACAAUGAUCACUCAGUAGGAUAAAGUUAACUCACAUAGGCUACUUCUUAAAAACACAUGGUCUUAUCUUACCAGAGUACGCCUGGCAUGUCCUGUUUUUCCAGUCUCAACAUGGCAUCCUUUUGUGGUGCCUCUUUGCCUACCUUUCCCAGAAUUAUCUUCGUCUCCUAACCCCAUCUAUCUUCCUGCCUCUCCUAGAUAUUGGCCAAACAAUGUUUUAUUCAUCAACCAAUAAGAGAAACAUAUAUACAGAAGGACAUCCCCAUCACACAUAGGCUACUUCUUAACAAUUAUAUUCAAAGGAAACUGUGGUUGGUAUGUAAAAUAAAUUCAAAAGUUAAUAAAAAAUAUUUAAAAGGAUAUUCAUAUGAAUUAAAAUAUUCAUCCAAUUUCUUUUCCUUUUCAUAGUAAUAUUUGCUUUUUACUAACAUGGAUGUCCAACAAAUCAAAAUAUUUUCAUAAUCUGUGUCUCAUUUGGGUCAUUUCGGUUUUACUAAUUUGAUUUCAUGAUUAUUACUGGGAGGUUUUGUUAUACAGCAGGAGAAUGUGUUAAAAAGAUCUGCUCUGACUGUCCCAUAGGCUAGAUAUGAGGUAUUUGUAAACAAAUAUUUAAACUGAGGCUGAAAGACGUUAAGAAAUUUGUGUAAGAAUCACUCCAGUAGUAAGUCAUGAGUGAAGUUCUUACACAAUGGUUUCUUGGACUGGCACAGUGGUAAAUGACUCUAAGAGGAGCUAUUCAAGAGGUUCACUUAAGGCCAGGAAUUUGAACCCAGUGUAGGCAACAUAUGGUAGUAUUAUCAUCUCAGUUAGACAGAUGAGGGAAUUGAAGUGCAGAAAGGCCAAAUGACUCACUCAAGCUCCUACAGCUAAUAGAGGGCAGAAGAAAGACUUGAACUUGCACCCUGAUGGUAUUGCUCCACUCACUAAAUGUAUAACCUUCAUGCAGGCUUUCCUCAUCAACUGCAAUCUGCUUUGAAACUGAUGCUUAGUCUGGUGUCAGUUGUAGCUGAGAGACAAAGAUCCUUCUCAGCUGCUCUGUCAGUCCCUCUACAGCCUCUUCCAUCUUGGAGGGAAUCUCCCAGCAGAUGGAAGUCUGGGGAAGAAUACCUCCCCUGCCUUCCUUUUUUAUUUUUAUUUUUUUAAAUAAUGCUUGCUGUGGAACUCGGGUCCUUAGUACAUGCUAAGCAAGAGAGAUGUACCACGGAGCUCCAUCCAAGAAGAGGUCUUUGUCUUUUUGUAGCAAGGUCUCACUAUAUAUGUAGUUCAGGCUAGCCUUGAACUCACACCACUUUAAUAGCAUAUGGCAGGGUGUUGUUCUAAGGACACCAGCUGUGAAGUUGAAUUCAGGAGUACUUGGCUGUUUAUUAGACAUUGAGAAGAGAAAAAUGGGAAGGAAGAUUGGCUUUUAUCGAAUAGUAUCUAUGUUCUUCCAAGUACAGUUAAGUAUUGCACUGGGCUUUGUGAGCUCCAGUAAACUCGAAGGAGCCAGACAGGAAAAGUGCUCAUUGCUUCCGCCACAGGUAAUACUGACCCACAACACUAGAUGGCAAAGUGGCGCUAUGCUACUGUGAUGUAAGCAGGAAAAAAGCCAAGUGUAAGUUUUUUUUGUUUUGGUUUGGAUUUUUUUCGCUUUUUGUUUUUCUUUUCUUUUUUUAAAAAGGUCUCACUCUACCAUUCUGGUUUUCUGGUUUCUUCUUUCCUUUUUAAUUUUUAAGUUUAUUUUAGGAAAAUUAAUGUCUCUGUAAAGUUAAUAUCUUAGUUUUUCAAAUCGUUGUUUAGAAAUGCUCAGGUUCAGGCUCUGUCAAGUAGGUAAAUACAGGGCUCUCUGCCUAAUGGCUGCCUGGUCAAAAGCUACCUCCUAAUUGAUCAGAUAAAAACGGGAGGACAACAGAAGAUAAUGGAGAACUAUGAAAUGUACUUUCAAAAGCUGCAUGUUAACAGAAAUGUGACAUAAAUGUGACAAAUGUAUAUGGCACAGAUGUCAUCUGUCAUGGCCUUUUCUGUUUAAAUAAACUUGGGAGCAAAAAACAAAUUGGACACACUGGUGCUCAUUUCAUUCAUUCAGAAACAAGCGUCUUUUAUUCGCUGGAGGCAGCCCAGAAUUUUUAAAAAGGAAGAGAAAGAGAGUUCUGCUGUGGCAUUUAAGAAAUCUGUGGUGAAGGUGGAGGAAGGACCAAUGUAUCAAUGCUGUCAGCCUUCAGUCCCUCAAUCAUUCUUCCUCUUCAGAUUGUGAUUAGAGCUGCUGGCCCCCACCUCCCUGGAGUUUUCUUCCAGGCAAGCCUUCAGACCACCCAGGGUACUCACCAGAGCAACCAGCACAUCAGCAUGUUAAUACAAGACUGCACAUGUCAGAGGUUCGGGGGCUGACUUUUACUGCUCUUUGAAUUGUCUCCUCAAAUGGAAUUUAGUCUAGUGCUUGCUAUAUCACAGGUGCCCAGUAACUGUUAGGAGAGAGACUGGAUUCAGGCUGUGUAGCCACUGAGGAGAAUUGGUCUACAAGUUUUCAAGUUUUCCUCAGACAACAAUGACAAGAUGAAGUAUUGUUAACAGAGGCAGAGUCAGGAGAGCCUGAUGUUAAGUGUAGACACACCAAUCAAACAUUUACUCAUAAUAAAUCAUAAAGAAAUUUGUUUUUAAAAUUCCUUAGCGUAUAUGUGGUAUAACCAUUUGUUAAAGAUGAAAGCAUUUUUUACUAAUGAGAUGGAUGUGUUUAUUUUUACAUAAAUAAUUAAAUCUUAGCUGAAUAUUUCAUUCCACAGGACAUAGAUCUUUGGGAACUGACCGGUAUUUUGACUUUAUAUUCGUCUGUGUUGAGGACUGCACUUCGAGCAAUCUGAGAGCAACUUGAGUUUCGAAACAGCAAAGUGACCAGAGCAGAUAUUUGCUUCAAAGCCUCCUCUCUUGUGAUGGUGAUGAGCAGGAGAAGCAGACCUGGAGACCAGAAUGUGAGGGCAAGGAGUAUUGGGGAGGUAAUGCCAAGAAGACUGACAGGGGCGAGAAGAGGAGGAAAGCCAGCAUGGUGUGCAACAUUAAGCAAGUUGACACCAUGGGAAACCUACUCAGUUUCAUUGGGAACAGAGAAGAAUGUACCUUAGAAAUACAUCCUACAAGUAUGUGAAGAUAUUCGACAACUUCCAUCAUUGAGUCUUUGACAUUAUUGACAGAACGAUGUACAGAUUAACCAAAGAAAGUCUAAAGACUUUCACAGAUACUGCAAGAGUGAUUAAUUGAAGGUGAACUGGAUACCUGGCCAUAGAUACAGGUGGAGCUAAACAGCACCUGCUAAAACAAUAUCCCUAUUGCUUUGGAAACAGCCAAGGCUCAGUAUACACCAGAUUUGGCUAUUCUAAUGAGGAUUUCAUCAAAACUCCCAACAGUUUUAUUUACUCUUCUCUUCAUUAUCUUAGUGACCACACUACUUCUUUUCACAACCAUAGCGAGGGUGGCAAUCCAGUGUUUUACAUGAACAUGGACUUCCAUCCAUUAUUCAAUUUUAGCAGCAACAUUUAUUGUCAAAUGAUUCAUGAGAACACUGUGUAACUGGGUCAAAGUACAAUGAACUUGGUGGGGAUGGGAAAGGCACAGACUCUUUCCUGCUGCUAAAGAGGAAAUGGGGAAGGGUCAUCAUCUACAUCAAAGUAUUCCAUUGUUUCAGCUACUAUGGAAUCUGGAAUCAAGGACUUUGAUAUUGUCUAUGUAUCCAGACCACUUGGAACGCUUUCCAGCUGCAGCAUUGGGACCUUAAUAAACGAACCAUAUUAUGUUUAUACUUCACUGUUUAAGUAAUGCUAUUUCACUCUGUGUAAAGCCACUUAAAACACCAGUGGAAACACAUGCAUGGACCAUGAAACAACUUUAAAUGGAUAAUCAAUUUUUAUCACAUAUUGGAGGUUAGACUGGUAUAUCUGAGUGAAUUAUGAAAGUCUGUAUGUGAUUCUAGCUGGGAGUGGUUGCAUACCAAAUCUUUGUCUUUGCUACAAAUUGGUCUGUAGUGAGAUAAUUGGGAGAUUCCAAAUCUAACACUUUGUUCUUUAAAAACACAAUAUAUUUUAUUUGGACAUACAUGUGAAGGAUUUUAUUAGGCUUACUAGGACAACCUUAAUUCUUUAGUAUAGCAAUUCUCUCCUAAGAUGGAAGAUAUGUGAUUGACAUAUUUCUAAGGCACUGAAAAGUUAUGAGCAGCAUGAUCAUGAGCUAAACUGUAUGGGGCAUUCUAAAACAUAUGAGACAUGGUUUUAGAAAAAAAAAAGAACAUGAGCAAUGGUGGUACAUGCCUUUAAUCCCAGCACUCAGGAGGCAGAGAGAGGUGAAUCUCUGCAAGUUUGCAGCCAGCCUAGUCUACACAGUAGUGAAUUUCAAGACAGUCAGAGUUACCUAGUAAGACCCUGUCUCAAAAACAAAACAAAAAAAUGAAAAGAAAAAACCACGAGAAACCUGUUUUUGAAACGACUAGUAAGCAUGUGAAACUCAUUAUACCUGAGCACGAUGAAAAGGUGAAUGGAGUCAAGGUAAAUUUGAACCAAUUACUGCAUAACAGAACCUAAAAGUUCAAGGAGAAAUUAGGCAAGUUCAAGUUAAUAUUCAUUAACUAUGGAGGAGUAUUUCAUGGAUGCAAAUUGCCUCAUUCUUACAAAACACUGGCAUCACCUUGGAAGAUAGCAGAGCUUCUUGGGCCACUGACUUGACACAAUAAGUUUUCUUCCAUUAACCAGGGGAUAUUGAAAAUGCCAGAUUACCUUAAAGCCCUGAACUACCAAGAAGCUACCAGCUCUUUCAUCUUCUAUCUUUAAAACAUUUGUUGUCCCCAAAGUGAAUGAUGAAGUGGAGAAGGAACCUUGAAACUGUUACCAUUCCUAUGCUACACACACACAGCACAGUCCCCCCUUUCUCUUUCACACACACACACACACACACACACACACACACACACACACACACACACACACACACUUGUGAACUAGCAGUUCCUAAAACACCUUCCAAAAUCAAUAUUAUGCUCUGUUUAUGAGGACCCAGAAUAGUAGAGCUCUAGACCAAACUCGAUUGUUUAAUAAAAUGUCACAUCCAAACACUGAUUCACUGAGUCAGCCUUUUUUCCCUGACUCUAAGACAAACACUAGGUUCAGGAUUAUCAAUCCAACCAACAACUUCUAUUAUCAUUUGGUUUUGUCUUCUAAAACUCAAAAUCCAGUGAAUUUUUACUGAGUGACAGUUCAAGUCAGACUAUUCCAAUCAAAUUCCCUCCAUUCUAUUUACUAUUUGGCCGUUUGACACUUUCAUAGAGAACCAUGGAUGCAGCACAUGUUCCUAAAACUUAAGCCUGUACAUCAUGACACAUUUAAAUCAAGAGUUCUGAUGCUAUAAAAUAUGACUUUGUGAAUGUGAUCAUUUUAUUCUAUAUUUAUCGAUUUCAUUAAAUCAUGGAUUUUUAAAGUGACAGUCUGACCUGUAACAAAUGGUUAGACAUAUCACAUAUAUUAAUGUUCAACCACUCAUGAGAAAGAACACCCUAACUUUGUUGUAGGACUUCAUUCACACAGACUUUUUCUAACCUCCGAUAUUUUUCCAUAUGUUCAUAAUCCUUUUAGACCCUAUUUCUAUAACUUCUGCCCUCUCCUUUGUGGUUAGCAAUUAAAACCAGCAAACAAUUAGCAUUGUAAAGUCUUUUACGUUCUUGCAUCAGUUCUUACAUUCUCACUCUAAUCUACUAAGAUGGCUCAGUGGCAAACAAUAACACAUGAAUAAAUUCAUUCUUUUGUUCAAAAUCACUAAUUAUCUAAAUGUCUUAUGGUACAGGGAUAGUUGAAGAAAGGUUACAAAUAUUUUAAGCUAUAAUUAGACUGGGAAGCAAAACAUAUAGCACAAUCAUAAAAUUGUAAAAUAUAAUACUAAUAAGAAAAAUAGCAUAAUUUGCACACACAAAUGUAGUAAGGGCACAGAUGAAAUUUCUGUUUCAAGUAAGAAAAAUAAUUUAUAUAUCAUAGUAAUUAGUCCAAUAAAAACAUAUAUUGUAGAUAUAUAUCUAAAUAUGUAGGAAUAUGCACAUACAUGUGUUUAGACAUUCCUAUUUCAGAUUUCAUUAGUAAUCCAGUAUUUUUCUAGUUGUGGUAUCCACUGUCAUUUUAAUUUUUUAAUUCCCUAGUUGGAGUCUGAUAAUAAUAUCCCACGGUAUUAAAAAGUUAUAAAUUAUCAAGAAAUAAAAGAAAAUCCUCCCAAUUAGGGAAAUACCUAAAUGAUCUUUGUCUUUGCCUAAUAUAUAUUAGCAUAAGUAUGAGGCUAAUAUUAUAUAUUAACAUGUGUUUUAUUAUGAUUUUAUAUAUUAUAUAAACCUCAUAUGUAACAGCAGACCAAAACUAAAAAUGCAAAAUUACAGUGUUCUGACCUAAUGUUCUUCAGUCCCAAGUAUCCAAAUCUUGACACACUUAUAACAUUCAUUUGACGAAUAAUAGUAUUUUAGUACACUUGGUAAUGCACAUGUUUUUUAUCUACCAUAAAGAGCUGUGUUUCUUCAAUUGAUUUAUAUACCACCUGGACAAAAUUAUUUUUUAUUAUGGUUUAUUUCAUUUUUCCAGCAUCCUCAACUUUAAAAUACUUGUAAACUGCCAAUGGAACAGUGACAAUGAUGAACAAAGAAUAGCCUUGGUGUUCAAUAUCCAAAGUCCACACUUCUUAAGAGAACUUCCAGUGAUUAAUGCUUUCAAACUAGCAGGGUCAGGUUAAAAAUCAAGCAACAAUCUGUCUUGUACUUCAUCAUACAAAAAAUUCACAGACUGGUUUAAAGUUUCCCCAAAGAGGUAACCAUUUGGGUCUAGAGUUUGCAUAAGGGACUUAUAAAGGAACUUGCCAAACAAUAGAAAAAUGAUCAUUACAUAGUAAUGAGGGGUGUUAAUGAUAUUUUCUAAUCAUAUGACCUCAUUUCCUGAAUUAUACUAUGUCUACAUCCUGAACAAAAAGACACAGAGAGUAUUCUACUCUUUCUAAUUUAAAAAUACUUCUUUAUCAAUUGAAAUGAUAUUCUUCACAUAUCACUCUGUGGAAUAUUGUUUUGAUGACUUCUACUGAAUUUUCUCAGUACUUUUUUGACAUGAAAUUGCAUCAUGUUAAAGCCAACAAUUCACUGAAUGUUUGGGAAACAUCACAAAUGUUUGAGGCUAUGUGCCUAAUGAAUGUAACAUGGACUCAUUUUAUCCCCCUUUAUUGGAAUUGCUUUGAAUUUUAAACAGUUGUUAGCCAUUAACUACACUUUAUACCUAAUUCCGCAUAUGUGUAUAUGUGUUUUAGAUUCCAUGUGUAAAAUUAACUUAUUUGGGAUCAUAUGCAUUUACUGAUUAUUUUUGCAUGGCAACUACUAUUGUUGACUUCCUCAAGAUAGAACAGUUAGUUCUGACCUAAAUGAAACAGAUUAAUUAAACUUCGUAUUCAAAGAUACCUUUGGUGGCUUUCCAAAUCACUCAAGCAAACUUUUGGAGAAUCUUCUCUAAUGAAUCCAUUUCUUUUCCCCUGAUUAGCUUUAAGUCCCACCUAGUCUAACAUUUACAUUGUCAUGAUCUCUUCUUCAAAAUCUGGUAGUAUUAGUUUUUUUAACAAAUUCUGUAAAGUCAACCAAAAUAAGCAUGCUAAUGACAAAUAUAAGUCAUAACAUGCUUCCUCAAACAUGCAUAUGAGCACACACACAAGAUAGGUAUUUCUUGACUCAAAAACAACAAACCUAUGAGUGUCCUUAUGGUCCCAGCUGAUAUCAGGGAAUAACUUGAGAGGCUGCAAGUCUUAAGUCUUACUUGUGAUGCCAUAAGAGUUUUUGUCAAACUUCCAGUGUCCUUUUAACUCAGAUUGAUUCAUAGUCUUUGAAAAGAGGGGGAAGGGUCAGGUGUUUUAAAUUCCACAAACUGACAUUCCCAUUAAUAAGGUGUAGAUUUACAGAAAAAUUUACAAAGAAACUACAUGUAUAUCUCCCAUACAUCAGUCUACAUGUUCAGAGUCAUGACAUUAAAUUACUCUCUUUAGUGUUUAGGAUAAGGUACAGUGUUUUAAACUGCAUUGCAAAUUAUCCAGUAGAUUAUAAAGCCUUCCAGACAUGUACCACAAAAGUGAAUCAAGUCUCAAUCCCAGAAACAGUAACCGUAUUACCUAUAGCACAAAGUAUGUAUAGCACAUGUAGAAAUGUUUAUCUGGAUAAUCUAAUUAAUUGCUAGAAGCCAGUUCUCAGAAUAUCACCAGCUGGAUCAUGAAAUUGUGCUUGGUGGGUUGCAGUACUUCUCAAGAUACUCAUAACAAAUAGAAGCCCAUUCUCUGUGGACAAGCCUUGGCAAAUAUGCUUUGGAUUUCAAACAGCCAAAAGAAUAGUUCUUAUUCUUCCACUGAACAGUGAAUUUUCUCUACAUUUACAAAGAAUCUCCUACACUUAAAGCUGUGUAGUUUAUGGGGGAAGAGGACAACACACAGCAACCAAGGAGAACACAAAAUCAGAAAGGCCCAAAUGGAAAUGAGAAUUCAGACGCAGCAGAGACAUUGUUUGGCCCAAGAGCUCACGGAUGACUCUGUAAAAAAUUUUUCAGUUUGCUUAUACCUUAAAUGAUGGGUGUGAAUACCUUGGGAGUAGGGAAUGGGCGUUUGGGAACAAAAGUAACAAUACAAGUACAAAAUUAUUGAAUAAUACAGUAUUAUUGGAGCAUGGCAUACAUGAUGGAGCCAGAAAGGAUCACAUAGCUGAGAGCCUACAUAAGGAUCUCAAGAUCAUAGGUUGGAGAAGCAAGUGAGCAAUGGCGACAUAUAAGGUUUUUAUUAUUGUUUUUAAUCUAUUUUAUUAUGGUGAAAUAUAACAGAAAUUCAGGAAAUUACAUCAAUCAUGUUCAGCUAAGGGAAUUAUCAUAAAUGCAUUUAGAAAUAGGAAUAUUACUGGGAAGCCCCCUCCUCAUGUGCCCUCCCAUCCCAGUGUUAUAAUCUCAAAGGUCACCACUAGACUGAUCUUUGUGAUAAUGAAGCAUGAAUUUCUCAAACAUCAUUUAGUUUUGUUGCUUUAUGAAUUUUGUGGAAGUGCAAUUGUGUAUUAUGAAUUAUCUUGUGCCUGGAUUCUUACAAUGUUGUUUUGUGAGCGUUCCCCGUGUUGUUGUGGAAGCUGUACUUCACCUAUUUUCAUUGCUAUGGAGUGUUCCUUUACACAAAUAAACCAUAUUGAUCCA
rnacentral:lncRNA from 1 species